rnacentral:lncRNA from 1 species
UGAUAGGUGUUUAAAGGAGAUAACAGAUUGAGAGAUAUGGGAAUAAAUGGAAAGGGUUACAAGGUAGAAAAAGGGAGAGGAAUUGGACAACCUUCUAGGAGACUAUGGUGUUAAACCGAAAACCUUCCUAAGGAAACAUGGGUUGUUGUUUCUGGUGUGUGGAUCAACUUUGUGUGGGUGUGUGGCCAGCGGGUGGCCGAAAAGUGUGUGAAAAUGGUGUACCUCAUAUGUUGUAUUAUUAACAAUUGUGUAUUACAUUUGUAAGCUGUAUGUUGUGUUAAUAGUUAUGUGUGUGACUAGCCAAAUAUGGGUUAGAUUUCACAUCAUUUCCUUGUCACAUUAUCUGCUAAUUUUCUUUACUAUGUAAUGCAUUAACCUGUUAUAGGUUAUUAAAGUGUUGCAUAAGUGGAU